rnacentral:rRNA from 1 species
AAAUUGAAGAGUUUGAUCAUGGCUCAGAUUGAACGCUGGCGGCAGGCCUAACACAUGCAAGUCGAACGGUAACAGGAAGCAGCUUGCUGCUUUGCUGACGAGUGGCGGACGGGUGAGUAAUGUCUGGGAAACUGCCUGAUGGAGGGGGAUAACUACUGGAAACGGUGGCUAAUACCGCAUAAUGUCGCAAGACCAAAGAGGGGGACCUUCGGGCCUCUUGCCAUCAGAUGUGCCCAGAUGGGAUUAGCUUGUUGGUGAGGUAACGGCUCACCAAGGCGACGAUCCCUAGCUGGUCUGAGAGGAUGACCAGCCACACUGGAACUGAGACACGGUCCAGACUCCUACGGGAGGCAGCAGUGGGGAAUAUUGCACAAUGGGCGCAAGCCUGAUGCAGCCAUGCCGCGUGUAUGAAGAAGGCCUUCGGGUUGUAAAGUACUUUCAGCGGGGAGGAAGGUGUUGCGGUUAAUAACCGCAGCAAUUGACGUUACCCGCAGAAGAAGCACCGGCUAACUCCGUGCCAGCAGCCGCGGUAAUACGGAGGGUGCAAGCGUUAAUCGGAAUUACUGGGCGUAAAGCGCACGCAGGCGGUCUGUCAAGUCGGAUGUGAAAUCCCCGGGCUCAACCUGGGAACUGCAUUCGAAACUGGCAGGCUUGAGUCUUGUAGAGGGGGGUAGAAUUCCAGGUGUAGCGGUGAAAUGCGUAGAGAUCUGGAGGAAUACCGGUGGCGAAGGCGGCCCCCUGGACAAAGACUGACGCUCAGGUGCGAAAGCGUGGGGAGCAAACAGGAUUAGAUACCCUGGUAGUCCACGCCGUAAACGAUGUCUACUUGGAGGUUGUGCCCUUGAGGCGUGGCUUCCGGAGCUAACGCGUUAAGUAGACCGCCUGGGGAGUACGGCCGCAAGGUUAAAACUCAAAUGAAUUGACGGGGGCCCGCACAAGCGGUGGAGCAUGUGGUUUAAUUCGAUGCAACGCGAAGAACCUUACCUGGUCUUGACAUCCACAGAACUUUCCAGAGAUGGAUUGGUGCCUUCGGGAACUGUGAGACAGGUGCUGCAUGGCUGUCGUCAGCUCGUGUUGUGAAAUGUUGGGUUAAGUCCCGCAACGAGCGCAACCCUUAUCCUUUGUUGCCAGCGGUCCGGCCGGGAACUCAAAGGAGACUGCCAGUGAUAAACUGGAGGAAGGUGGGGAUGACGUCAAGUCAUCAUGGCCCUUACGACCAGGGCUACACACGUGCUACAAUGGCGCAUACAAAGAGAAGCGACCUCGCGAGAGCAAGCGGACCUCAUAAAGUGCGUCGUAGUCCGGAUUGGAGUCUGCAACUCGACUCCAUGAAGUCGGAAUCGCUAGUAAUCGUGGAUCAGAAUGCCACGGUGAAUACGUUCCCGGGCCUUGUACACACCGCCCGUCACACCAUGGGAGUGGGUUGCAAAAGAAGUAGGUAGCUUAACCUUCGGGAGGGCGCUU